rnacentral:lncRNA from 1 species
GGAGCUCAGGCGCACGCUCCAAGGCCUGGAGAUUGAGCUGCAGUCCCAGCUGAGCAUGAAAGCGGGGCUGGAGAACACGGUGGCAGAGACGGAGUGCCGCUAUGCCCUGCAGCUGCAGCAGAUCCAGGGACUCAUCAGCAGCAUCGAGGCCCAGCUGAGCGAGCUCCGCAGUGAGAUGGAGUGCCAGAACCAAGAGUACAAGAUGCUGCUGGACAUCAAGACACGUCUGGAGCAGGAGAUCGCCACCUACCGCAGCCUGCUCGAGGGCCAGGACGCCAAGUAGGUCCUCUCCAGCCUCUUUCUUAGGAUAGUGACUGCAGGACCCGUGGGUGUCAGAGCAGGCAGGGCCUUAGAGAUCCACCCCCUCAUGUCAGAGAGGAGACCCCUCACUGUCUGACUUUACGGGGACAUUUCCUUGGUAGGCUGCAGGGUUAACACCUUUAAACUUUCUAAUUUGGGCCUCCAAGUUAGACUGGAGGGAACAGAGACCAUGGAGGGAACAUCUGAUAUUGGAAAAACAUGAGCUUGGAUACAGCUCAGCUGAACAAAGCUAUUACUAUGGUGCUUUAACUGCCUUUAGACCCUUUGCAGAAAUCAAGCCACCCCUGUGGGCUCAGGGCUCAGGUGGAGGGUUGCGGGUUUGGGCGAUCCAGAGGGAAGACAAACACCCUGAAUCUUGUGGCUAAUAAUAUCUCCCCUUGAGACCUCUCAGACAGACAGACAGGAAAGACAGACAGUCCCAGUGGGCACCUGAUGCUGCUGUCCCUUGAGCUGGGGGCACAGCUAGGAGGCACUAGAGUCCAGCCCAGGGGCUUGAAAUGAUAAGCCGAGGCACUUCCCCAGAGGAACAGGUAAGCACCUGCCCUCAGUUACCCUCUGCUCAUGGCCACCUCUGUCCUCUCUCCCAGGAUGAUUGGUUUCCCUUCCUCAGCAGGUAAGGGAACAGCCCCGUGGUGUAGGGGGAGGCAGAGUUAGCCUCCCAUUCACUGCCCCAAUGGGGGUGGGAGCUGGCGGGGAGGGAGGGAGCCAGUGCUGGGCUCUCCAGUGUAGGGAGGGGGAGAGCUGGGGUGGAAGUGGUCAUUCGCUCACUGAUUUUCCUUUUGAAACUGAUGGCUCUGCCCCACAGAGCUAUUUGGCUGUCUUGGGAAGAGCCAUCUUUGGGGACAAUAAAGAGUCUCCAUCCACGCACCACCUGACUAAUGAGGAGUUUGUGAGCCCUCCAGGGGGGCCCUGCCCUGUCCUGAGGUGGGUCUUCUCCAGCCUGAGCAUGUCUUGUCUCUUGUUUCCCAGGAAGCGUCAGCCCCCGUAGCACCUCUGUUACCACGACUUCUAGUGCCUCUGUUACCACCACCUCUAAUGCCUCUGGUCGCCGCACUUCUGAUGUCCGUAGGCCUUAAAUCUGCCUGGCGUCCCCUCCCUCUGUCUUCAGCACCCAGAGGAGGAGAGAGCCGGCAGUUCCCUGCAGGAGAGAGGAGGGGCUGCUGGACCCAAGGCUCAGUCCCUCUGCUCUCAGGACCCCCUGUCCUGACUCUCUCCUGAUGGUGGGCCCUCUGUGCUCUUCUCUUCCGGUCGGAUCUCUCUCCUCUCUGACCUGGAUACGCUUUGGUUUCUCAACUUCUCUACCCCAAAGAAAAGAUUAUUCAAUAAAGUUUCCUGCCUUUCUGC